GUAGUGUGUGUCUGGAGUAGUGUGUGUCCACUGGAGUAGUGUGUGUGUGGAGUAGUGUGUGUGUGUGUGGAGUAGUGUGUGUCUGGAGUAGUGUGUUGUGUGUGUCUGGAGUAGUGUGUGUCCACUGGAGUAGUGUGUGUCUGGAGUAGUGUGUGUGGAGUAGUGUGUGUGUGGAGUAGUGUGUGUGUCUGGAGUAGUGUGUGUCCACUGGAGUAGUGUGUGUCUGGAGUAGUGUGUGUGUGGAGUAGUGUGUGUGUGGAGUAGUGUGUGUCUGGAGUAGUGUGUGUGUGGAGUAGUGUGUGUCUGGAGUAGUGUGUGUGUGGAGUAGUGUGUGUGUGGAGUAGUGUGUGUGUCCACUGGAGUAGUGUGUGUCUGGAGUAGUGUGUGUCUGGAGUAGUGUGUGUCCACUGGAGUAGUGUGUGUCUGGAGUAGUGUGUGUGUGGAGUAGUGUGUGUCUGGAGUAGUGUAUGUCCACUGGAGUAGUGUGUGUCUGGAGUAGUGUGUGUGUGGAGUAGUGUGUGUCUGGAGUAGUCUGUGUGUGGAGUAGUGUGUGUGUGGAGUAGUGUGUGUGUGUCUGGAGUAGUGUGUGUCCACUGGAGUAGUGUGUUUGUGUCUGGAGUAGUGUGUGUCCACUGGAGUAGUGUGUGUGUCUGGAGUAGUGUGUGUCUGGAGAAGUGUGUGUGUGGAGUAGUGUGUGUCUGGAGUAGUGUGUGUCUGGAGAAGUGUGUGUGUGGAGUAGUGUGUGUGUGUCCACUGGAGUAGUGUGUGUGGAGUAGUGUGUGUCUAGAGUAGUGUGUGUGUGGAGUAGUGUGUGUGUGUCCACUGGAGUAGUGUGUGUGGAGUAGUGUGUGUCUGGAGUAGUGUGUCCACUGGAGUAGUGUGUGUGUGUGGAGUAGUGUGUGU
ensembl:lncRNA